CCUACGGGUGGCUGCAGUGGGGAAUAUUGCACAAUGGGCGCAAGCCUGAUGCAGCCAUGCCGCGUGUGUGAAGAAGGCCUUCGGGUUGUAAAGCACUUUCAGCGGGGAGGAAGGCGUUAAGGUUAAUAACCUUGGCGAUUGACGUUACCCGCAGAAGAAGCACCGGCUAACUCCGUGCCAGCAGCCGCGGUAAUACGGAGGGUGCAAGCGUUAAUCGGAAUUACUGGGCGUAAAGCGCACGCAGGCGGUCUGUCAAGUCGGAUGUGAAAUCCCCGGGCUCAACCUGGGAACUGCAUUCGAAACUGGCAGGCUAGAGUCUUGUAGAGGGGGGUAGAAUCCCAGGUGUAGCGGUGAAAUGCGUAGAGAUCUGGAGGAAAACCGGUGGCGAAGGCGGCCCCCUGGACAAAGACUGACGCUCAGGUGCGAAAGCGUGGGGAGCAAACAGGAUUAGAUACCCGAGUAGUC
rnacentral:rRNA from 1 species